CGUGCCGCCCCUCAGCUCAGUUCGCAGGCUGCCUACUUAAUGGCACUUACCACUGGUGCUUUCAGCUCACUUAGCCGCUCGCCCUUUGGGGAACAUUUAUUGAGUGCCUACUGUAUACCAAGGGGAACUGAUGUUGAGCAUAUUACGGAGGACUGGUACCCUGAGGACCUUCUGCAGGUAUCCCGGUGGAUGAACACAGCUGGAAUCAGUGCUGCACAACAGAGGGGAGCAAGAGAGGCGCUUCCCUGAGGACCGGAUGUGAGGGACAAGUAGCAGCUAACAGGCUCCCACCUGCCCCGGAACCAGAGCCCAGGACCCUUCUGCGGACACACAGGCUCCGAGGGAGCGGGGUGCUGGGCCGCACAAGCCCCCCUCUCCAGACGCCUCGGCCUCCAGGCUCCUACCCCUGUCCAGAGGCCCUGCAGGGGGCUCCCGGCGGUGCUUCCAGUCCGCAGGCAGGGUGCUGUGGUUAUCCUGCCCGUGAGCGCCCCCUGGCCGCUCAGGGACCUGCAGGCUGCCGAAGAGCUGACUGCCCGGAAGCUGAUAGGGGAGAGGCGGAAGGGGGAGAGAACACACAAGGAUGGAGCUUUCCAGAGAACUCCCCGCUUCGCCUCUUCCGGGUCCAGGGAGGGACACGGGAGCCCCGCACCCCAUCCGCCCGGAGCCCACGCGCCAGCCCCGCGUCUUGUCCCCCGCCCCCGGGCCAGCUCACCUGGCAUGACGUACUCAGAGCCA